rnacentral:rRNA from 1 species
UACGUAGGGACCGAGCGUUGUCCGGAAUCACUGGGCAUAAAGGGCGCGUAGGCGGCUUAUCAAGUCAGGGGUGAAAUCCGGCAGCUCAACUGUCGAAGUGCCCUUGAUACUGACGAGCUCGAGGGAGGUAGGGGUGUGUGGAACUUCCGGUGGAGCGGUGAAAUGCGUUGAUAUCGGAAGGAACGCCGGUGGCGAAAGCGACACACUGGACCUCUUCUGACGCUGAGGCGCGAAAGCCAGGGGAGCAAACGGG